UUCAAAAACACAGACCGACCGUUUUCAUCAGCAAAACAUCAAUCUGUCCGACCGUUACAUUCUCUUCAAAACAAUUUACCUCCAUUUCAGCCUUGCUUCAUGCCCAUUAUUGAAAACCAGAGAUUCUCUAAGGUUUGAUUCCCUCCAUGUCUCUACCAUUUAAAAUUAGGGUUCGUAGGUACAUUCAAUUUUUCAGACUAGCCGUAAAGAGAAAACGACACUGGAAAACGACACUGACUGUGACAAACGAUUCCGGCGCCGACGACUUAAUUCCUGGUAAAUUAAGUGCUUUGAUUUCAUACUGAAUGGUCAUCAUUUACGGAAGUGAUUAUAGUGGCCACUCCAAUCAAACUGAUGAGGACAUUGAUGUACAGUUAUGGAAGUCCCUUGUUGGUUUCUUUGCUAUAACAAAAUGUCAGACCACUCAAGAUUUAAGUCGUCGGCGCCGGAAUUUGUCCCAGUCAGUGUUGGCGUCGGAAUCCUGGGUGAAACAAGAACUCACGUGGAGGAAAAUCGGGGCUUUUCUCAGAAAAAUAAAACUGAUCCAACAAAUCACUAUCUCUAUGCAACAUACCAUUAUGCAAAUUAAAUUCAUAAUCAAAACUGAUGCAUAAAGAGGAUUGAAUUGCAAGCUAAUUCGGUGGGAGGAAAUCAAACCAAUAAAUUCAAGAACCAAAGCUUAAUACACCUCCCAUAUAACACGUUAAAUUAUAAAUAGGGGUAGUUUUGAAAUUCGAAAAAUAUAAUAAAUCAGAUUUUAAAUUAUAUUAGGUAACUGUUUAGUUGGAUCCUAGUCAUCGGGUAUUAUUUGAAAAAGUAUGGUGCGGGUUUAUCGUCCAUACCAGCAAUUUAUUUUAUGGAUUAAU